GUGCUUGCUUCGGCAGCACAUAUACUAAAAUUGGAAUGAUACAGGGAAGAUUAGCAUGGACCCUGCGCAAGGAUGACACGCAAAUUCGUGAAGCAUUCCAUAUUUUU
ensembl:snRNA U6 U6 spliceosomal RNA